rnacentral:rRNA from 1 species
CUGCUCAGGAUGAACGCUGGCGGCGUGCUUAACACAUGCAAGUCGAACGAAGCUCCUAAACCUGAGAUUCGUCAAGGGCGAGGGAUGACUUAGUGGCGGACGGGUGAGUAAUGCGUGAGCAACCUGCCCUUCAGAGGGGGACAACAGCUGGAAACGGCUGCUAAUACCGCAUAAAGUACAGAUGAGGCAUCUCGACUGUACCAAAGAUUUAUCGCUGAAGGAUGGGCUCACGUCUGAUUAGCUAGUUGGUGAGGUAAUGGCUCACCAAAGCUGCGAUCAGUAGCCGGACUGAGAGGUUGGCCGGCCACAUUGGGACUGAGAUACGGCCCAGACUCCUACGGGAGGCAGCAGUGGGGAAUAUUGGGCAAUGGGCGCAAAGCCUGACCCAGCAACGCCGCGUGAAGGAAGAAGGCUUUCGGGUUGUAAACUUCUUUUGGCAGGGACGAAGAAAGUGACGGUACCUGCAGAAUAAGCUCCGGCUAACUACGUGCCAGCCGCCGC